UUCCCAGCCACUCCCCACAGCUGCCCACGUACCAGACAUCUCCUCCCACAGCCUCCUUCUCACAUCUUUCCUUCUCUUUCUCUCUCUAUGUGGGUGGAGUUCGGUUGAAGGAGAGAGUUGGCAGAUUUAAUAUUUUGGGGCUGUGAGGUGUGUCCGAGCAGGAAAUCAGCAGAGGAGAGGUUGGAAUUUGAGGUUCUAGUCCGUGCGGGGUGGUCGAGGAUCGUGACAGGGACAGCUCGCAAUAGAUAGCGACAUCCAUUAAGUAUAGUUAUAUCUUGUACAUUUCAUCUGUUUAUAGUUGAUGAAAGGAAAUGUAAAUUAUUCAUUUGAGAGAUGACAAUGCAAAUGUUAAAGAAUGUGUAUAACAAAUGAUAAACUUUGUAUUUGAUUUAAAGUAAUCAAGGCACAAUAUGUGAAUGGUUUAGUUAGUUA